CCUCAUGGGGCAAGAGGAUAGGCUAGGGAGCUAGGAAAAGGACCACCAUUGGUGCCAGCCAGCCUUCGUCCUUGGACCAGAAUCCGAUUCCAGCAACCUCGACAACGCAAAAGCAACGCGUCAAUCCGAAUCCUCUUGACCCCACCUGCCACCAUGUGCCCCUCUCCCCUCGCAAACUUCUAUUUCUACUUACGCUUCUCUACCUUUGCCGGAGGAUGAACCCUUGCACUCCACCUUCCUCUCCGGCGAGACGAAAGCCGACGGCGCCACCACCGGCUAUUGAGCAUUGGGAUUCAUGAGCGACAAGUUCUACUGCAUGACCCUUAGGAUGAACAUCGACUGCAACGGGUGCUACCAGAGGAUCAGGAGAGCUCUCCUCCACAUGCAAGACCUGGAGAGCCACCUGAUCGACCGGAAGCAGCACCGGUUGAGCGUCUGCGGCGCCUUCGUGCCGCAGGACGUCGCCAUUAAGCUCCGGAAGAGGACAAACCGCCGCGUCGAGAUACUCGAGAUCAAGGAGGUCGACGCCGGAGCCGACCCAGCGGCGCCGAGCGGCGGCAGCCACCAGCCCUGAAGGAGUCCCGCAGGACAACCUUCCAGACCGUGUUGGCGUUGCCUGAUCAAACUUCAGCUCUCAUGACUUGAAGACGUCAGUCCUGAGAAGUCGAAGCAAAGCUGAGCUGCUGGUUCUGAAUCAUGGAUGAUGAUGAAGAUAUUUUUCUAAUAAUGAAUCUGUUCAUAGCAAUGAAGAAAGUGAGGUUGAGCUGAAUUCUAAAGAAGAUAACUUAGAGAUAAGUGCCAAUAGCAAGUUGACUAUCUUUAUUUCCUUCAAUUUGGGUCUCAAAUGCAAGCAAUUCCUCCUACUCUACCAAGAAGAAGAGUUUGGAAAGGUUCAAUAAUCAAGAAAUGCAGCUCUUAUGAUCAUGUUUCUCAGAAUACUUUUGGAAAGCGUCCAGUAAUCCCUCAAUACAAGAUUUGGGUACUUACCAGAUAAUGUAAGCUAGCAUUACCUUUGUCAUUUUCAGUUUUGCUAAAUUCGAGAUAUGAUUAUUCUUAAUACUUACUGUUGUAGUAGUUUACAAAAAUAAGUAUUAAAUUGCAUGUUUGCCUUUUAAUAAUUGCUAUUAUUGUUAUGUGCAAAUCUAUUAUAUUAAGUGUGCAAUUUUAUUUUUUUGUUUCCUAUCUUUUUGAACUCUAUAUUUCUAGAUAUUCUUAAGUACUUGUUUCAUACAAUAUUUUAUUCUGUUUUUAGGUGAGAGAUGAUUUAUGUGGGUUGUACGAAGGUUUUUGUGAUAAUGUGUUUCAUCCCUCAUACCAUGGUCCUGAUCAACUUGUUUUUGCUAUGUUCCAGUACCUUCAUGAUUCUAGUGUUAAUGUACCUUCUAACUCUAAACAUGUUCCUGAUAAUUUCAAUAAUUGGCAUUCAAAUAUUAAUGAUGAUGCUAAUUAGAAUGAGAAUUUGCCAAAUGAUAAUUUGAACAAAGAUGUAGUGCAAGAGCAAGAAGCAACAGCUACUGAAGUGCUUUCAUCUAAUGACACAUAUGCUCAAUCUGAUGCUAAUAAUGUUGCUUCUCAAGCUACUGUCAUAAUUCCUUAAGAUAACACUACAUCUAAAGGUAUCUGUUUCAGUUCAUUUGUUUCUUGUUUACAACUCUUUGAAAUCAAUUUACUAAUCUUUAUUUUUUUAUAUAACUUAUUUAGAUUUAGGUAAAGUUUCUAUUCCAAAAAAGAAUAGUAAAAGGCAAUGUUUGAGUCCUCAGUCUUCAGAAUUUGUUGCUUCUAGAACUCAACAUCGACUUUCUCAAAGACUUGGGAAAUCACCUUUGAGCCAGCCUGUCAAUAAGAUUUCUAAGAAGACUAAGAUUAAACAAAGUUGUGCGGCUCCUGUUGCAAAUAAGUCUGGAUGUGAUGAAAUUUGUGAAAUGUCUAAGUCUGUAUCUGCCAAAAAUAACAUGUCUUCUACUUUGAGAAAUGAGAUUGCCCAUGAUUCUCCAAUUGCAAAUGUUCAUGUUAUUGAUAACGUUGAAGUCUGUAUCUGCCAGAAAUGACAUGUCUGUAUCACAAAUGUUGUUUUCAUGUUAGCUAUUAUAUGUGUAUUCUUAUUUAAUUUUUUAAUCUUCAUGAUAAUGAUAAGGUUGAAGUAGCAGCAUAUGAGAUUGAUGU